rnacentral:rRNA from 1 species
CACGUAGGGGGCGAGCGUUGUCCGGAAUCAUUGGGCGUAAAGAGCUCGUAGGAGGCUCAGUAAGUCGGGUGUGAAACCCCCAGGCUCAACCUGGGGACGCCACCCGAUACUGCUGUGGCUAGAGUCCAGUAGGGGAGUGUGGAAUUCCCGGUGUAGCGGUGAAAUGCGCAGAUAUCGGGAGGAACACCAGCGGCGAAGGCGGCACUCUGGGCUGGAACUGACGCUGAGGAGCGAAAGCGUGGGUAGCAAACAGG